rnacentral:lncRNA from 1 species
UGGACCUUCUGAUCACAGCUUAAAGAGAGGUUGAAGCCCUGUCUAUCUGCACUCUCCAAGGUAGAAGACUUAUCUGUCCCUUCCUGCAGACAACUUUCCAGGAGAAGGUGAUGAGGCCACCCCCUGUGUGCUGCAGACUCUUGAGGACCUACUGUCCCAGCCUGUGCUUGCAGCUCUCUCUCCAGAAGAAAUGGAAGGCACACAGAAUGACGAUUAGGAGUGAAUAUUAGCAGCGCUCUUUGAAUGGGCUUCACCUCGUGCCAAGCACUUGACAUGGAUUAUCUACUUUACAUCUGGCAAGAGACUGAGUGCAGAAAGAAAUGGGGCUGCUGGGGAGUAUAAAUCCCAAAGAAAUCAGAGACCGAUUGUCCAAAGUUACCCAGAUAACCAAAGGUUCACAGCCUGGCUUGCAGACAAGGUAUAUAUGGAGACCUUCCUGGAUACAGUCCAAGAAGAGGAGAGAGUGGGAAGGGCUGGCCCCGUGGACUGCAGGAGCAUCCAGUACAUCUCGUUUAGCCUGAUCCUGGGGGAAUGUUAAAGGGGUCAUAGCAUAGACGUGUCUGGUCUAUUCAGCACUUUACAGUUUCCAAAGCUGCUCAGCUCCAUGCUCUCCUCUUCUUUUCUCGACGGCUGAAGACAUAGUGACUGGAAGAGGUGACAGCAAUCUCCAACCUCCCAAGGAUUUGUCUAAUGCUUUACCCAAGAUAUGAUUCUGAUUUCAUGGAUGAUAUUUGACCUUCCACUUUUCUGAAUAGGGCAUGACUAUAAGACAAACAUCAGCAUUUGACUGGACACUACAUGUUCUCAGCACUAUGAAAUGACCUGUAACAGAUACAUCCUACAGGCUGACUUUUGCUCCGGAGCCAUCUUUUUUAGGAGUUCUAAGCUCCAUAUGGAGCUGUGAGCUACUCAAAGGACUUUUAAUGUGAGUAAUGAAGGAGACAGACUCACAUAUCACAUGUUCCAAUUUUAUAGGGGAAAAGCUAAAAUAAAAGCACGUUGGGGAUGACAGCAUCCCUUCACCUCACCUGUGGGAUUCGGAACAGUGUCCCAGAAAGAAGACAUGGGUGCCAAAGGAAUAGGAUCUGGCAUGGAUGAAGGUAUAGAAACACAUAAAAAUCUUGAUAUGCAUAUAUUUUAGCAUAUAUUAAAGAAAGAGAAACUUUC